GUGGGAGUAGCACAGCGGCCAUGCAGGGGACUGCAGAUCCUCAGAUGGGGGUUCAACUCCCUCCUCCCACUCCA
rnacentral:tRNA from 1 species